UCAGACUACCAUACCUGGAGAAACAACUCAGUAUACUACAUCAGUCGGUCCAAGUUCAACACCUGGACAAACAACUAAACCAGGCACAACACAAGGUCAGACUACCACAACUGGACAAACAAGCAAACCCGGUACAACAGAAGGUCAGACUACCAUACCUGGACAAACAACUCAGUAUACUACAUCAGUCA